CCUCAAAUCCAUGGCCCCAUCCUGAUCCCCUCCUGCAAAAGGCUUGUUCCUGAGUUCCACCAUCCCUCCGGGCUUGGGGCAAAUGAACAGGGUUUGCAUCCCCUUCGCCUCUGGGGCGGGGGUCUCCUGAAAGAACAGGCUUUUGGAAUGUGACCUCCGGCUGGGCGGUGGACUCUAGCUGCUUGUGCAAGAGCUGCUCUCUUACCACAGGCCACAGGUGGGGGUGUGCUCAGCAGGGCUAUGGGUACAGGUAACCUGCCCUCUCACACUGCAAGGAUUUUGACAGAAAGAGCAGGGCGAAGAUAACCUGGCUAGGAACUAACUUGGCUCCUUGGGGACACAGAGCACCCACAGCCCAGUAUUCCUGGGUUGGGUUUGCCCUCCCAGCCCCCAAACUAGGUAGGGCUCUUCUUUUGCCCAAGUACAGCUGGAGGCAGGGUGUUUCAGAGGGUGCAGUUAAUGACCUUGACAGGCACAGAAGCUUGCAUGCAGGAUCCUAUAAGGCCAUGCAUUUCCCCUUUCUCCACAGCUUUUCUGUUUAAUUUGUCUUCAUUCCUUCUUUCUAGGCCUUUCUGCCUGCCUGGAGUCAUCUGGAGAGAAAUCAAGUGUGAGCACCUCUCCCGCAGAAAGUUCUUGCAAGGUUCCAGUCGACUAAAUGAGCUUGCCUUCUGCCAGGAGUAAGGCAGUCCUGCAAGACAGAACCAAAGUGCCAUUCCCCAGGAAGCUCUUCUUUGUCAGAACAUCCCUGGUCCUUUUGUUUUUGUUUCUGAAUUAAAAAGAUGUGUUUGCCUGCCUGCCAGUGUCAGUCUGUUAUUUUGUAGCUACAACCGCGACACGUGGGAAACAGUUAUCAUUCUUUUUGUCCUUGGGAAACAUCUCCUGUGGGGACCUCGGGAAGCUCCAAACAUACCUCAGGUGUGUCCUGUGCUUUUGAGGUUUACUCACGACUCACAGAGCACCCAGAGACCCAAUCUUGACUCUGUUUUCCCAGUGGACCAAACAAGGUCCCUCACCCAACUCGCAGCGGAAGGGGACUCGCCUAGAGAAAGCUUCCUGGAUUAAUAGAGACCAGACCCCACUUCUCCAGGGAAGGGAUACCCUCUUAUCCUGGGGACUAGGACGCCAGGAGCCAGCAUAGCCCCAGGUGUAACUCCCUUCAGCAAUGCGGGAGAAGGGCAGGCAUUGUGCCACAGACAUUUCUAGAAUGGUGGCAGCUGAGUGUUACGAUCAACUUUUGCUAUAUUCCCAGCCAGCUCACGUAAUUUAAAUUUGAGUUUUGUUCACAUCAAGCACGCACUCCCCCUCCCCACACCCCCACCUAGGGUUAGGUUACCAGCAAAGUUUCACUGGGCAACUUUGGUGACAGCAACCACUACCAACACACUUAAUUUCUGAGGAGUAAAAAAGAAGGAAAAAAUACCCAAAAAUCUCCCCAUGUCUUUUAAAUGGUUAUUUUAUACUAGUUAACAUCCCCACAGACAGGAAUUGGCCAGACCCCACUGCUCCUUUUUCUCUAGGAACAGGUAAAAUAACCUCCCACCCCUCCCCCAAGACCCAGAUAUUUUUAAGAGCUGAAAUUUCUCUUUCCAGGGGGAGGAAAAGGAACAAAUUCCAUUAAUGAAUUACGUACAUGGAAUGUGGCUUGUCUAGGGCAACUGUAUUUGUAAAUAAAUGGCUUCCUGUUUAUUACGUUCGCUUUCCU
ensembl:lncRNA